rnacentral:rRNA from 1 species
GUGGAUUAGAUACCCUGGUAGUCCACGCCCUAAACGAUGUCAACUAGGUGUUGGGUGGGUAAAACCAUUUAGUACCGUAGCUAACGCGUGAAGUUGACCGCCUGGGGAGUACGGCCGCAAGGUUAAAACUCAAAGGAAUUGACGGGGACCCGCACAAGCGGUGGAUGAUGUGGAUUAAUUCGAUGCAACGCGAAAAACCUUACCUACCCUUGACAUGUUCAGAAUCCCGGAGAGAUUUGGGAGUGCCCGAAAGGGAGCUGGAACACAGGUGCUGCACGGCCGUCGUCAACU